rnacentral:rRNA from 1 species
UACGUAGGGUGCAAGCGUUAAUCGGAAUUACUGGGCGUAAAGCGUGCGCAGGCGGUGAUGUAAGACAGUUGUGAAAUCCCCGGGCUCAACCUGGGAACUGCAUCUGUGACUGCAUCGCUGGAGUGCGGCAGAGGGGGAUGGAAUUCCGCGUGUAGCAGUGAAAUGCGUAGAUAUGCGGAGGAACACCGAUGGCGAAGGCAAUCCCCUGGGCCUGCACUGACGCUCAGGCGCGAAAGCGUGGGGAGCAAACAGGG